AAUUAGAGUGGUUAUUAUUUUGGGUGUUGUUUUAGAAAUGCAUGUCAAACUUUUUGGCGCCAAAAACAAUUUCUAUAAAAAAAUAUGCAAAUUAAACCACCCCUCAUUUCUCGGGGGGGGUUUAGGUAUAAAAAGUAGGCAUGCAUUGUGUAGAAGAAGAAAGAAGGGCCCUCCCACCUGCUCCCACUUUCAGUGUCUAGUCAAGCGUUAACCUUGGAAGUGGAACAACCCAAAAAAUACCCGCUCCUCUAAACCCUCCUCCUCGGCUAGUCGGUGCUCACAUUUGCUCAUUGAUCGUCCCCUCAGUAUUACGUUCCUUUCGAAAUGGCCACGUCACAGUUUAUCUCCAAAGCGGCAUCUACCUCAAGUUCAUUGACUAAUAACCAGUCCAAAAACAACAACAAUAUUCAAGAAGCAGACAGCACUUACAGAGCAUUGAAUCACUGUUGCUUUUGCGGUAUUUUACUCGAUCCGAAAAAUUUAACUGUGAACGUUAACACACAGAGUAUCACUGUCUGGUGUAAUAAUUGUCGAAAAACGAACGCUUUGGGCAAAAUACGUCACGAUAAAGGAAAGGAGGAAAAAAGAAAAAUGUGAAGUACGCCCCACCAUCAGACCGUCCAAUCACAAAUCUAAUUUUCUAAAUUGAAAUCGAGAUCUUUACUACUCUACAUUGCGACUAUAUAGGCCUACAGUCAAGGCUCCAAUUGUUAUUUCCUCAUUUCUCGUGCUAUUAAAUGUGUGUAUUUUUUUAAAGAAAAAUGUCGAUGUUCGAUUAAUACAAUUCGCCUUCUA